rnacentral:lncRNA from 1 species
CAGGCAUUAACUUAUGGGCUCUGAGCACUCUAGAAGAACAAUUGCUGUUCUCAAUCCUUGCUAAUGUGUCCUAUGGUUUAUAUUUCAACCCAGUAAGGUUGUCUCGGAUUUUGAUGGGAAAAGUGUUAAAGUGUGCAUGGUCCCCAGAAGAGAGUGAAGACGCCCUGUGCAAUGCCCGUCUGCAUCAGCAUUACAGCGAGCAGACAGAGACAUAGCACACUCCUGGGUGUGCUCUCUGUGCAUCACAGAAAAUUUUCUCUCUUUUGAAUUCAUGGCUUACUGCAUUCAAACUGUGAUAUUAACACACCAACCAAGCGUACCCUGUUGUGUCAUAAAGCCAUGGUACUGAGGUGUCAAAGGAGAAAAAAACAACCAUGAUUCUAAAACAGAAACUGGGG